AUGCAAGGAAAAUGGAUUACUCGUGCCUUGUGUCCCCAGCUUGAGGUCUUGGCGCAUAAAGCCAUAGGUUGUUUCUUGACACACUGCGGAUGGAACUCGACGACGGAAGCAAUUGUUGCCGGCGUGCCAAUGGUGGCAAUGCCACGGUCGGCUGACCAGCCAACCACGGCAAAGUAUGUGGGGAGUGCAUGGGGGAUCGGCAUGCGGAUGCGGGCAGACGUGAAAGGCUUGGUGAGGAGGGAGGAGGCGGAGAGGUGCAUCCGGAAGGUGAUGGAUGCGGAGGGAAAGGACGAGUACCGCAGAAAUGCGACAAAGUGGAUGAAGAUGGCCAAAGAAGCAAUGCAGGAAGGAGGGAGUUUGGAUAAAAAUAUUGCUGAAUUUGCAGCCAAGUAUUUAUCGAUAUAA
rnacentral:rRNA from 1 species